rnacentral:lncRNA from 1 species
UUUCAUAUUGGCCAAAUGUUGAGUUCUUAUAUAGAAAUUGGUUUUCAACUCCUGCCACCAAAAGGUGCUUUUUAGGACAUUUUCAACAAUUAGUGAUUUGAAAAGUCUUUUGAAUUUUGGCACUUUGAACUUUGACUUGUUUCUAGUCUUUUCACCCUAAUUUAACUUUCUUGUUUAGUCUUUGACUCAUAUUUUUUUCCCCUCUUGACUUCAUAUUGCUC